UAUCGGAUUGAUACUAAGCCAUGCGAGUCAUUGUAGCAAUACAAGGCAGACGGCUCAGUAACGCGUAGUCAAUCUACCCUAUGGACGGGAAUAACCUCGGGAAACUGAGAAUAAUGCCCGAUAGAACAUUAUGCCUGGAAUGGUUUAUGUUUCAAAUGAUUUAUCGCCAUAGGAUGGGACUGCGGCCUAUCAGUUUGUUGGUGAGGUAAUGGCCCACCAAGACUAUUACAGGUACGGGCUCUGAGAGGAGUAGCCCGGAGAUGGGUACUGAGACACGGACCCAGGCCCUAUGGGGCGCAGCAGGCGAGAAAACUUUGCAAUGUGCGAAAGCACGACAAGGUUAAUCCGAGUGGUUUCUGCUAAAGAAACCUUUUGUCAGUCCUAGAAACACUAACGAAUAAGGGGUGGGCAAGUUCUGGUGUCAGCCGCCGCGGUAAAACCAGCACCUCAAGUGGUCAGGAUGAUUAUUGGGCCUAAAGCAUCCGUAGCUCGUUUUGUAAGUUUUCGGUUAAAUCCAUGCGCUUAACGUAUGGGCUGCCGGGAAUACUGCAUAACUAGGAAGUGGGAGAGGUAGACGGUACUCGGUAGGAAGGGGUAAAAUCCUUUGAUCUAUUGAUGACCACCUGUGGCGAAGGCGGUCUACCAGAACACGUUCGACGGUGAGGGAUGAAAGCUGGGGGAGCAAACCGGAUUAGAUACCCGGGUAGUCCCAGCUGUAAACUAUGCAAACUCAGUGAUGCAUUGGCUUAUGGCCAAUGCAGUGCUGCAGGGAAGCCGUUAAGUUUGCCGCCUGGGAAGUACGUACGCAAGUAUGAAACUUAAAGGAAUUGGCGGGGGAGCACCACAAGGGGUGAAGCCUGCGGUUCAAUUGGAUCAACGCCGG
rnacentral:rRNA from 1 species